UACGGAGGGUGCGAGCGUUGUCCGGAAUCAUUGGGCGUAAAGGGCGCGUAGGUGGCGGGACAAGCGUGCGGUGAAAGCCUGGGGCUCAACCCCGGGUCGGCCGUGCGAACUGUUUUGCUUGAGCACUGUAGAGGCAGGCGGAAUUCCGGGUGUAGCGGUGGAAUGCGUAGAGAUCCGGAAGAACACCGGUGGCGAAGGCGGCCUGCUGGGCAGUAGCUGACACUGAGGCGCGACAGCGUGGGGAGCAAACAAG
rnacentral:rRNA from 1 species